GAUGAAGAACGUAGCGAAAUGCGAUAAGUAAUGUGAAUUGCAGAAUUCAGCGAAUCAUCGAAUCUUUGAACGCACAUUGCGCCCGCUGGUAUUCCGGCGGGCAUGCCUGUUCGAGCGUCAUUUCAACCCUCAAGCCCCCGGGUUUGGUGUUGGGGAUCGGCUCUGCCCUUCUGGGCGGUGCCGCCCCCGAAAUACAUUGGCGGUCUCGCUGCAGCCUCCAUUGCGUAGUAGCUAACACCUCGCAACUGGAACGCGGCGCGGCCAUGCCGUAAAACCCCAACUUCUGAAUGUUGACCUCGGAUCAGGUAGGAAUACCCGCUGAACUUAAGCAUAUCAAUAAGCGGAGGA
rnacentral:misc_RNA from 1 species